rnacentral:lncRNA from 1 species
CUAUAGGUCCUUAUACUUCCCCCACCCUUUUUCCCCCUUAUUUCAGCCCGAUUUCGUGGGCAUCAUCUGCACCCGCCUCUCCCCCAAGAAGCUCAUCGAGAAGUGGGUGGACUUCGCCCGGUGAGGCGCCUAUAGGGGCUAUACGUCCCCCCUAUAGAUCCCCCCCGUGGAGAUAUAGGGGGGAUAUAGGAGAUAUAGGGCCUCCUAUGGGUGGUUUUUUGGUGGGGGAUGGGUAUAAGGGGUGUUUUUUGGGGGGUUCUGUGGGCGUCCCUAUAGGGCUGUGGAGCCUCCUAAAGGGCUAUAGGGGUUCCUAUAGGGUCACAGGGGGUUCCUAUAGGGCUGUAUGGGCCUCCUAAAGGUCUUUAUGGGCUAUAGGGGUUGCUAUAAGGGUUCCUAUAGGGUCACAGGGGCUCUGGGGAGGUUCCUAUAGGGCUGUAUGGGCCUCCUGAGGGUCUUUAUGGGCUAUAGGGGUUGCUAUAAGGGUUUCUAUAGGGUGACAGGAGCUCUGAGAGGGGUCCCUAUGGGUCUAUA